rnacentral:rRNA from 1 species
UAGGGAAUCUUCCGCAAUGGACGCAAGUCUGACGGAGCAACGCCGCGUGAGUGAAGAAGGAUUUCGGUUCGUAAAACUCUGUUGUUAGAGAAGAACAGCGCAUAGAGUAACUGUUAUGCGUGUGACGGUAUCUAACCAGAAAGCCACGGCUAAUUACGUGCCAGCAGCCGCGGUAAUACGUAGGUGGCAAGCGUUGUCCGGAUUUAUUGGGCGUAAAGCGAGCGUAGGCGGUCAAUUAAGUCUGAUGUGAAAGCCCCCGGCUCAACCGGGGAGGGUCAUUGGAAACUGGUUGACUUGAGGGCAGAAGAGGAGAGUGGAAUUCCAUGUGUAGCGGUGAAAUGCGUAGAUAUAUGGAGGAACACCAGUGGCGAAGGCGACUCUCUGGUCUGUAACUGACGCUGAGGCUCGAAAGCGUGGGUAGCAAACAGG